rnacentral:rRNA from 1 species
CAGGCCUAACACAUGCAAGUCGAACGGAAAGGCCCUGCUUUUGUGGGGUGCUCGAGUGGCGAACGGGUGAGUAACACGUGAGUAACCUGCCCUUGACUUUGGGAUAACUUCAGGAAACUGGGGCUAAUACCGGAUAGGAGCUCCUGCUGCAUGGUGGGGGUUGGAAAGUUUCGGCGGUUGGGGAUGGACUCGCGGCUUAUCAGCUUGUUGGUGGGGUAGUGGCUUACCAAGGCUUUGACGGGUAGCCGGCCUGAGAGGGUGACCGGCCACAUUGGGACUGAGAUACGGCCCAGACUCCUACGGGAGGCAGCAGUGGGGAAUAUUGCACAAUGGGCGGAAGCCUGAUGCAGCAACGCCGCGUGCGGGAUGACGGCCUUCGGGUUGUAAACCGCUUUCGCCUGUGACGAAGCGUGAGUGACGGUAAUGGGUAAAGAAGCACCGGCUAACUACGUGCCAGCAGCCGCGGUGAUACGUAGGGUGCGAGCGUUGUCCGGAUUUAUUGGGCGUAAAGGGCUCGUAGGUGGUUGAUCGCGUCGGAAGUGUAAUCUUGGGGCUUAACCCUGAGCGUGCUUUCGAUACGGGUUGACUUGAGGAAGGUAGGGGAGAAUGGAAUUCCUGGUGGAGCGGUGGAAUGCGCAGAUAUCAGGAGGAACACCAGUGGCGAAGGCGGUUCUCUGGGCCUUUCCUGACGCUGAGGAGUGAAAGCGUGGGGAGCGAACAGGCUUAGAUACCCUGGUAGUCCACGCUGUA